UAUGCAUUAUAUAAGAAAAUACACUUCAUUUAAGUAAAUAUUUCACAAUGAACUCACAGUGUAGGUAACGUACUACAUGAGGGGCAAGUUUUUCACUAACAAAAGCAGCGUCUCUAGCCCAAUGAGUGGACUCUGAUAGUAAUUCUUGCUUCAAGU
rnacentral:snoRNA from 1 species